rnacentral:lncRNA from 1 species
GGGAGGGGGUCCCUGGAGAAUCUCCAACCAGCCUGCGCACUGGGAAUGCGCACUGGAGUGAAAAUACAGAAGUUGGUGCCCUUUGCAGCAGCCAGGAGUCCGACUCCUCCUCUUCCUGUGUGGAACCUGGAAUUCAAACGGCUGGGUAGGAAGCACGCUAGCAGGGGCCUCUGGCCUUGCUGAGGGUCCCUGUUUCCCCUUUUCCUUCCUUUUCACCCAACAAAACCCUGCUUUACUCACCCUUCAAACCAUCUAUGAGCCUAAAUUGUCGUGGUCGUGGAAUGGACAAGGACCCAGUCUUUAGCUGAACUAAGGGAAAGUCCUGCUUUUUGGCGCGCAACAGGGGAGCUCAAGAAACAGGCCUCACUCACGGCAUAUGGAACUAACCACGCCCCUAACUAAGAAGGCACACCUUAGUUGCAGUUAGCACACAAUUAAAGCAACUCUCCAAGUUUUACCUUAAAGUUCAAAAUUGCUAGGAGUUGAAACUACUAGAAAUAUAUUUACAUGCAAGAGUCAAAGAAACUUUGAACUAUUUAUGGCCUUUAAUAAUUAAGUAAGGUAUACUCCUGUGAUCAAGACUUGGAGCAUAUUUGUUUCUCUCUGCCUGGUUCCUCUAGAAAUUGGAAACUAUCAGAACAGAGACCAACUCCGUUUCCCGAUCCCUUUGCAAUCUGCAUUGAACCAUGAGUCAAGUUCUUGAUAAAGGAGUGAAAAUGGUAAGUCUAAAGCAAUGAAAAGCUGCUGUAUUGACUACACAUGCCUUCAUUUCUUCUACCCUGCUUCUUUCAUGCCUGCUUAUCUGAAUGACACCAGGAUGACAUUUAAGGCACAUCUGAAGAUGGGGAAACCACAGCACAGAAUAAGGCUGGGCCCUUGAAUCAAUAAAUGAAGGAGAACUACUCAAGAGAACAAAACCACCAGCAAUAUCCACCUGUAUUUGUCUUUUCAUAAUGUGUGACACAUGUGCUCAUGGAUUAUUGUCCGAAGCAAGACAUGUGACCAAGCCUAACAUCAACUGGGUGAAGAGCUAUAUGUUCCUUUCUCAAGAGGCACUACAAGUGACAUGCCACUGGGCAGGGGGCAGGUCUUUCCUGUGCUGUUCUUGUGAAAGUGAGUAAGUCUCAUGAGAUCUGAAGGCUUUGAAAAACAGGAAUCUCCCUGUACAAGCUCUCUCUUUGCCUGCUGCCAUCCAUGUAAGACGUGACUUGCUCCUUCUUGUCUUCUGCCAUAAUUGUGAGUCUUCCCCAGCCAUGUGGAACUGUAAGUCCAGUUCAACCUCUUUCUUUUGUAAAUUGCCCAGUCUUGGAUAUGUCUUUAUCAGCAGUGUGAAAACAGAGUAAUACAGAAGUAAUUUCUAUGACAUUAUAUAAGAACUAAAGUUUUAUUUUUCCAAAAAUGUUGAAUGUUGAUGCUGUAUUCUGGUGAUGUUUGUUUUACCAGAAAAAUACAUCAUAUUCAGGAUAUGAACUAAACAAAAAUUAGUUGCUACUGCUCAACUGACUUAAAUAUGAGAUGUUGUCUAAUUAUCUCUGAUUGCUUCCUUUGGUUUCUAGUGAUUAAUUAUGCCUAAUUAUUCCUUGAUUUUUGGAAAAUCACAUUUAAGUUUCCUCUGCAAAGAAAAGAAUAGGUAAAUCAAGUCCUCUAGAAAAAAAGCAUAAAAAUAUAGUUUUGAAAUUCUAAAACUCAUAAAGGGAAAUAAAAAUCCCAUUCGUUUUUAUUUUAAUAUUUUGCUAGAAAGUACAAUGGAAGGAAAGAAGUCUUUUUUCUAAGACAGCAGUAUUUUAGUCAAUUGUGUAUCAACAGACUUCUGUAUAACUGGGAGCCACAUCUUGGAAAUGCUCUUUCCAAUGGCAGUGACAUCUGAGGAGAGUCCACUCUGAUAUGGACACUAUACUAGGAGGAGACAAGAGUACAGUAGGAAAAAAUUAGUCUGUGCGGUGAAGGAGUCCUACAUUGUCCCUCAGUAGAUUUCUAUAAAAUUUCACUUAAUUAGUAGCAAGUAACAGAGUUGGAAUGAGGACCUAGAUCUUUCAUUUUAAUCUAAUACUCUUUCUUCCACUAUUUUAGUUAGAGUCAUAUGGGCAAGCCCACAAUUAGUACAUGAGGACAUUUUUAAUGGGUAAGAUUACAGAGAACCAUUAAUUCUAGCCAUUAAAUUAAUCAAUUCAGCAAAGCUCUGAUUCCCCCUUCCCUUAAUUGUUAAAUAAGUAGUUCUCCAUUCAGUUGUUAAAGGAUUAUUUCUUGAUAACAAGGAAAUAAUAAACUUCUUAAGACACCCUGGUAUGAAUAGCUGAAAUUGAUUGAUAGUAAUCUCAGUAAAUCGUUUCAUUCUAAUUUUUGGUAUAUCUAUACUGCUUUGAAUAACUCUUCUACCUACAGCCCAUUAAUAAAUAUUUGCCUAGUCAAAUUUUAGUUUGUGCUAUACUCCUAGAAGGACAUGGGGUGUAUGGAAGCGAAACUAACUGGAUAUUUAAGGCAUUCAAUAAUGUCUUUUUGCUUCCGAUUCUAGCUGUAUAACAUAGGUAAAUCUCUUAAAUUCUCAGAACUUCAAUUCAUUUAUAUGUAAAGUGAGGAGUUGUACCAUAUUGGUAGUUAUUAACAUGUACUGUACUUAUGAAUCAGUCUGAAAAUCUUGCUAAACUGCAUAUUCUGAGCUUUUCUUAAUUUUUUUUUGUUUUCUCGGAAACGCUGAUUCUCUAGGUCUUGGUUGGAGUCCAGGUAUCUGCAAAUUAAAUAAGCACUUGAAGUGAUAGUAUCUGAGUGUCCGUAGGCAAAUGUUAGGAGAACUGAAUCAGAUGUUCUUUGAAAGAUUUUCAUGGUUCUAAAAUGUUCUGAUUUAAAAUCCACAAAGAAAAAAAGCAUUGAAAAUGAAUCAGCAAACUAGAUGUAAUUAAAGCUUCUUGCAAUUCCAUUAAUAAACUUUUUAGAAUGAAUUACACUUUAUGUCUUCAUUUUUUCUUUUACAUUGGCAUGAAAGCAGUGAACCCUGAAAUGUUUCAGUCCUUGAGUUCCCAAAGUUAUGUAAAAGCUUGAUAAUCUUAAUUAACCCACAUUAUCUCUUAUCAUAUAAUAAUAGUGCUUUCUAGAAGUUGACUAUCAGAUGGUGAAGUUAGGUUUAUAUCAGCUGGUCAUUACUUCAAGUUUUUAAGCUAUAGAAGUCUGAACUACCACCAAAAAGAGCAACUAUCAUUUUUUGCUCACAUAAAGAAGUAAAAAUCUUCAAAAUAUUCUCAGGUGUUCUAUAAAUAUUUUUCUCUCAUGUUCUAGGAAACCACCUAAAGUAUAUUCCAAUUGAUAAGCUAAAAUCACUUGGAGUUUGCUAAUUUUGAAGAUGAAAAAGCUCCAGGAGCUUUCACACAGCUCCUUAGUGGUUUCAGUGUGGCCUGACUAGUGGCUGGACUGUGCCACAACAACUUAUUUUAAAGGUUAUUGUGAUACUAUUGGUAAAUAAAUGAUUGGAAAACAUAGAUACCUAUCUGCAUGUAAAAUAAUAGCCUUCCACCACUUUCUCUUUUUCACUUUUCACAUUCCGAUCUUAUCCCUGUUUUACUACUUAUCACGUUGUAAAAUAAGUUUAUAUUAGAUUUUACCUGAAGAUAGUAAAGAUAGUAAGGAUGCUAAGGGUUUUCUUAGGAUACUUAGAAAAUAUAGUAAUUCUGUUAUCUCUCUAAUUAUAAUAAGAUUAUUGACUAAUAAUCUGGAAGUAUGGCCUCAGUACACUCACCUGAGCAAUGAGAGACUGGGUAGGCCUGAUAUUCUUUAUUAUAGAAACACAUUGUUUAGAAUAAACAGUUACGUAAUCAAACUGCUGUGUUAAUUUCUUGGUUUCGUCACUUGAUUGCUUUGUAUACUGGGCAAGUUAUUUCAGUCAUCUUUGAUUCAAUUUCUUCAUCAACAUAAAAACCAUGAUCACUAUUGUACAUACUUCAUGAACUUCUGCAGAUAUUAAAUUACUUAGUAUACAUAAUUAUACCAGUUAUGUCAUUUUUUAAAUUGUUGCUAAUACUGUUAAUCCAUUCAAAUAUUAAAUGAAAGCAUAGUUUGUAGUUCUGUAAGUUUCAAUACUUCACUAUAUAAUUUGAGUACAAUGCAUUAUUCGUAAGCUGAAUAUAGGGUUUUGGAUAUCUUCUGAAGGGUAGGUUACAAUAAAAUUGCUAAUUAUAGAGGGUUGCUAAAGGUAUUUGUACCCUGUGAAGUAUUCUAUUAUCAGUUCUAUUCUGGUUAUUCAAUGUCAGCCACAAUGCCUCUAAAAAAUUUGAAGUCAGCCUUUAUUUUAAAAGUGCCUUAAACAUUUCACUGAAAUAAUUAAAUGUAUUGGUUUAAUGGAACUCUCAUGAUACAGUAGAAGAAAUGGGCUGUUAAGAAUAUUGAAAGAAUUAAGAAGCAGUGAAUUUAAAGCGCCCUCUUCAACUUUUCUUAGAUGUUAUAAAUGUAACCAUUCCUACUAAAGUACACCAUACUCGAAAGAUCUUUUCUCUUUUUUUAUGAUUUAGAAAUGGUAGUUACAAUAUGUUGAAAGUAUAAGCCUUGGUUUUUUAUAUAUGAAAGCACUAUCAAAUCAUAAUGAAGGCAAUUUUUCCUAUAGUCUUAAUUUAGCUAUUUAAUAUAAAAUCAAAAAAAUGGCAUACAUAACUAUCUAGAAGUGUCAAUAAAUCAUUAGAGCGGACAUUCAGUGUUUCCAGUAAAUAAUUAUUAAGUAUAGAUUAGGUUGCUUUGGGAGAGUAUAACAUCUUAGAACUUUACUUCAUGAUAAUAAUCACCACUUAUUAAAUAUAUACUGUAUGUGACACUACAUACUAAACCCCUUUCAUUUAAUCUUACUUAAUAUCUCAAUAACCAGUGCUGAAUUGUCUUACAAAGUUGGUAUCAGCACCACCCCCUCUGAAUUCUCCCUGAUUCAAGGAAAAAUAGGAACUGAGUUCUAGUGAAUUCACUUCCACUUAUGGUUUUGACAUAGAGAGAAAUGAGAAAUUCUGUCUGAUACAUAAAAUGCAG